rnacentral:rRNA from 1 species
CCUACGGGUGGCAGCAGUAGGGAAUCUUUCACAAUGGGCGAAAGCCUGAUGGAGCAACGCCGCGUGCAGGCUGAAGGCCUUCGGGUUGUAAACUGCUUUUAUAAGCGAGCAAUAUGAUGGUAACUUAUGAAUAAGGAUCGGCUAACUACGUGCCAGCAGCCGCGGUCAUACGUAGGAUCCGAGCAUUAUCCGGAGUGACUGGGUGUAAAGAGUUGCGUAGGUGGCAUAAUAAGUAGCUAGUGAAAUCUGGUGGCUCAACCAUUCAGACUAUUAGCUAAACUGUUAAGCUCGAGACCGUUAGGGGUAACUGGAAUUUCUAGUGUAGGAGUGAAAUCCGUAGAUAUUAGAAGGAACACCAAUAGCGUAGGCAGGUUGCUGGGACGGUUCUGACACUAAGGCACGAAAGCGUAGGGAGCAAACGGGAUUAGAUACCCGAGUAGUC